AUUGAACGCUGGCGGCAGGCCUAACACAUGCAAGUCGAACGAGUGGCGGACGGGUGAGUAAUGUCUGGGAAACUGCCUGAUGGAGGGGGAUAACUACUGGAAACGGUAGCUAAUACCGCAUACCAUCGGAUGUGCCCAGAUGGUUUUAGCUAGUAGGUGGGGUAAAGGCUCACCUAGGCGACGAUCCCUAGCUGGUCUGAGAGGAUGACCAGCCAAAAUGGAACUGAGACACGGUCCAGACUCCUACGAGAGGCAGCAGUAGGGAAUAUUGCACAAUGGGCGCAAGCCUGAUGCAGCAAUGCCGCGUGUAUGAAGAAGGCUUUCGGGUUGUAAAGUACUUUCAGCGGAGAGGCGUGACCCGGAGAAGAAGAACCGGCUAACUCCGUGACAGAAGCCGCGGUAAUAC
rnacentral:rRNA from 1 species